rnacentral:tRNA from 37 species
GCCCUUUUAACUCAGUGGUAG